AUCUUGAAGACAUCUUUUAGGCUAGGAGUAAUAAUAAAGUUGGUGUAGGCAUAAUUCAAUUCAACUCUCGACUAUAGCCAACUAAUUAUUUGAUCUCUCUUAGCUUUACCUACACAAAAUUCAAUGUGUCCUGGUUCACCCUAAAAAGCAAAGUAGAAAAGAAAAUCAAGACACGAUCAUCUCAUCAGAAGUGGGAUGGAACCCAGUCCAGACUCCAGCGCAGUUCUUGAAUUUCUGAAAGCUUCAACCGAAUGAAGAAAAACCAGAGUACAGUUCAAAUUUCUACAGUAAGCACGAGGCACAAGAGAAACCUGAGAGAUGACGAAUCCCAUUG
rnacentral:misc_RNA from 1 species